rnacentral:rRNA from 1 species
GCUUAACGCGAAGAACCUUACCUGGUCUUGACAUGUCGAGAAUCCCGAAGAGAUUUGGGAGUGCCGCAAGGAACUCGAACACAGGUGCUGCAUGGCUGUCGUCAGCUCGUGUCGUGAGAUGUUGGGUUAAGUCCCGCAACGAGCGCAACCCUUGUCCUUAGUUGCCAGCAUUAAGUUGGGCACUCUAAGGAGACCGCCGGUGACAAACCGGAGGAAGGUGGGGAUGACGUCAAGUCAUCAUGGCCUUUAUGACCAGGGCUACACACGUGCUACAAUGGUAAGUACAGAGGGAAGCCAACUCGCGAGAGGGAGCCAAUCCCAGAAAACUUAUCGUAGUCCGGAUCGGAGUCUGCAACUCGACUCCGUGAAGUCGGAAUCGCUAGUAAUCGCAGAUCAGCAUUGCUGCGGUGAAUACGUUCCCGGGUCUUGUACACACCG